rnacentral:rRNA from 1 species
GUAGGUGGCAAGCGUUGUCCGGAAUUAUUGGGCGAAAAGCGCGCGCAGGCGGUUCUUUAAGUCUGAUGUGAAAGCCCACGGCUCAACCGUGGAGGGUCAUUGGAAACUGGAGAACUUGAGUACAGAAGAGGAAAGCGGAAUUCCACGUGUAGCGGUGAAAUGCGUAGAGAUGUGGAGGAACACCAGUGGCGAAGGCGGCUUUCUGGUCUGUAACUGACGCUGAGGCGCGAAAGCGUGGGGAGCAAACAGGGAUUAGAUACCCUGGUAGUCCACGCCGUAAACGAUGAGUGCUAAGUGUUAGGGGGGUUUCCGCCCCCCUUAGUGCUGCAGCUAACGCAUUAAGCACUCCGCCUGGGGAGUACGGCCGCAAGGCUG